GCCCGGGAAAGAGGUGAGGCAGUUGACCUGGGGAGGUGUUCAGAGCCUCACCCUCAGUCACCCAGCCAGAGGCACCCACGCUGAAUUUAAAGGUGGCCUUAAUUCUGGCAUCCUCUGCACCGCACUCCAUGGAAGCAGCACGUGACAACAGGUGCAUGAGUCUGGAAAAAAAAUUGAUGGAUGUCACCUCUGAGAUUAGAUGACAAGAGAUUGCCGCUUCCAUCUCACUCGCUCGCUCUUGUUCUACUGGAAGCCAGCUGCAAUAUCAUGAGCACCCUAUAGGGAGGACCACGGCAAGAAACUGGUGGGGGCCACUGGCUAACAGCCAGCAGGGACCUGAGGCCGGCCAGCAGCCGCCUGACUGGGAAGUGGAGACUCCCUAAAUUAAGCCCUCUCAUGAGACUUCAGCCCUGGCUUACAUCUCCAUUGCAGCCUGUGAGGCUUGAACCAGAAGACCCAGCAAAGCACUGCCUGGGCUCUGCGCCCAUGGAAACAAUAAGCUCCUCUAAAUAGCAGCUCUGGUGAACUCUCAAAAGAUAGCCAUCCACAAGCCAAGGAGAGAGGACUCAAGAAGAAACCGACCCGGCUGACACCUUGAUCUUGGACCUCCAGCCUCCAGAACUGAGAUGACAAACUUCUGUUGUUUAAGCUGCCCAGUCCGCUGUGUUUUGUCGUCACCCAUCUAGAAAACUAAUGGGGUCAGCUGCACUCCCUGUGGCUGGAGAAUGAGCGAGGCUCAUUCUCAUGGUGCUACAUUAACAGCAACAACUUUCCCCUACCUUCAUUUACAAAGAACACAGCUCCUCCUCUGGAUGCAGACACAAACACCCACACGGGAGGAGCUAACAACAUCAGUGACAGAACUAGGGGACAGCGGGACCUUACUGAACACCAGUCAGUGUGCCUGGAUUGGGCGCCACUGGGAAUUCUUCCUCAGACGUGAGUCAGUCAGAGGCUUGGAAGUCACUUGCCAAUCGGGGUCUGCCUUCUUUUGCUGCCUUUGCAGACCUUUCUUCUGCCACGUGUGUUGGACGCAUGGCCCAGUCACCCCUACUGCUCCAGCUGAUAGCCAGCCAACCUCCUGGCACAUGAAAGAGGCCAUCCUUUAUCCACCUUUCUCGGCUGAUCCACCAUCUGACCACAGAUGCAAGAGCAAACCCAGCCAAGAUCAACCCAGAAGGCCCUCCCACUGACCCAGACACUCAUGAGCUAAACACAUUUCUGGCAAGAUUUCCUACAGCUGUGGCUAUAGCUAAUUGAGAGUACCUAUAAC
ensembl:lncRNA